GGUCAAUCCACAAAAGACACCCGUGGUCUAAAGCUGCCAUGAAUAAGCCAAAACUCACAGGGGCUUGGCUUUUGGAGGGAUCAAUGCUCUAAUCCACUGAAACUUAGAAGAGUGACCCUGGUUGGUCUUUUGGCACCAAGCGGGCGGAGAGAGCCGGACUCGCUGGCUGGCAGCCAAUUUGCUUCAUAGAUGAAGAGCGGAUGGGUGCCAAGGAGCUGGCUGCUGCUGUUGUCGGAGACGUGUUUCAUGUAGGCUCCAAAAUGCACCGUUUCUCUACGCCGCCGAGCAGCAAAAAGAAAUACCAUAGCAGACACACAGCCCUGAACCCUCCACUUAUAUUUUGUAUGUUGUGAAGAGAUGAGGCGCAGUGAAUGGAUUCACAAAUGCUGCAGGUGGAACACGGCAGCGAGCGUAAACCGGAAAAAGGAGGCUACAAAGACCUUGCUGACAGUCGCUUUUUGAAUUGCUCUUAACAGGGGGGCCAUUUAAAUCAAGUCUUUUUUGUACAUGACCUAAUUAUGCCCCUAUUUCCCCUCCGCUUGUGACUGCUGUGUUGAAGCUUGGUCAGCAAGAAGUGGAUGUUCAACUGGCCAAGCCACCUUAUGACAGAUAACAUCUUAACCCACCCCAGUCUCAAUCUGCUGCCAUUUCCUUGUUCCUUGCAAUACCUCUAGAUUCGUCCCGAUGACCUUAUCUACAUUUCCAUUAGCCUCGGGCCAUCGUUGCUAAUUGGACGCGCCAUGGAGUCCUCUCGGGGCCCACUCCGGAUUCAGCUAAAGUUUCACACUGCCCUGGUCUGUCUGCUGCUGGAUUUGUCAUCCAACACUCUUUUCACUGUUUAGGAUUAUGAAAGGAAGUGUGAAGGGUUCAGGCUGGCUGGGUAGAGCCGGGGCGAUAUCUUCCCUCAGUUUUUUUAUUUUUCGUUUUGGUCGUGACAAGGAGUUGGAUUUCUGCGUUAGACAUCAUUGUUUCACAUAAUUAGAAAAGGGGGAGAAAGUUUAUGCCAGGUGGUUAUCAAUGUGGAUGAUGGCCAAACAGAUGAAGGGGUGCACUAUUUAUCUCCCUGAGCUAGAGCAAUGUAAAUUAUUUCAGAAAUUGGAUGACUUUACUGCAACUAAUAACAGCAGGGAAAAUAGAUGCAGGCUUUGUCCCAGAUGAUAGGCUUACAGCCACUAAAGGAAUAUUACACCAUAAUAAUCAUGUUUAGUUUUACAUGAAAUCAAUAAACAUCACACGCUGCUUAUGAAUAGCUUUGCCUUUGUCUCUGAUGAAACCUCUAGGGCAUGUAUUUUCAUCAUCAUUGAUUUUGCCUAAAACUGUGUUGCACGAUUAGUGCAUAUCACUAGUUCAUGACAACAUAAUUUGACUCAAAGAUAAACUAUUAUAUUGAAUAUGUGCCCAGUCCUUAUGCUAAUGAACCUUCAGUAGUAUAUUAAACUUUUUUUGCCGGGGCAGCCAUAUUACUUGCUUAUGAUCGGAUUAAGUUGUUUGAAUGAUGUGUGAACAUUUUGAAUUCAGUGAGACGGUCUCCAACCAACUUGCAGAGAAUGCCCUUCCAAGCUGCCCUCUAUUACAAUUGAAUCUUGGAGACAUUUACGCAAGGGGGAUAGGGAUUUAAAGCCACACUUUUGGGCAAGCUAGAAGGGGAAGAUUCAGAGAUACAAGCCAAUGACAAUGACACAGGACUAAGCUUUGCUCAAAGUUUCUUCCGGCGCAGAUAUCAGAUGGAUAUUUCAAGCAUUGGUGCAUUGGAACCACCUGAUUUAUCCUGUUUUGGGCAAGUCUUAGUCAGGGUAUGAUUGAAAAUGAAUGAUUAUAAAGUAUACCAACUGGGGGUUGUAAGACUAGCAGUACACACCGGAUGCCACUGGUCAAAAUUUUGGGUUAAACAAAUGUAUAGGUUACGAGCACAUUCAAUAUCUUUAACACGUCUUAUGCCGAAUGUUUUAGGGGACAUGGAAUUUUUUAUACAGAAGUAACAUUUCUAUGUUAAACAAUGGUGAAUAAGUUAAUGCAAAGCUUUGGUAUGUUUUGAGUUGGCCCUUUGUUUACUCUGAUAUAACUCUUUUGCUUGUCGUCAUGUAUGUCUUGUUAGCGGUUCCUCCACUAGAUGGCACAGUAUCGUCUUAGCAAACAGCAACAGCAGUGCAAUGAGAGGCUUUCCCCAUGACCAGUAUGCCUUGACUGAACAUUUAUCUUAGGAUGUUUCAAACACUUGCUGCAGCAGAUGAGUCCAACGCUAACCUGAUUCACAUGAGACCUUCGACCUUGCAUUUCUAAAGACAGGCCAAAUCGAUGGCAUCAUGGCUAAAAUGCCUGAUAUCAUAUAUCUAAAAACCUUUGAACGUUUGGUUACGCUUUUUUAAUAGGUUAAUCUCUAACAGAUCUGAUCUUUUUUAGGUGUGGGCAGUUUCAGCACAUCGUUGAUAUUCAUGAGGUGGACUAAGUGUGACAUGUACAAUCUAGGUUAAACGCAGGUUCGGGGCGGAGGAGCUAUAUGAAUAACUACAGACUCAACAGUCAACCUAGCAGUGUUGUGUGUCCCAAUUGAAUGAAUUGAUCCAAUAUUGAUCCAAUAAUUGUGUGGAUAAUGUGUAAUGUAUCUGUGGUCUUCCCGCGGGGCUUGGAAAGAGAGACACGGCUGGAUGGGGAGGGGUCUUUCACAAAAGCAACAAAAGGAAAACAGAAAUGUAAUGUAAACCUAUAUGCAAAAAAAGGUCAUUUGAUUAAAAUAAUGUCCUACAUCAAAACCUGUCACCCCUGCUAUGCCCCUGGUGUUUAUGGAGAUAGGCGCUCUACCAUAGAGA